UACGUAGGGGGCAAGCGUUAUCCGGAUUUACUGGGUGUAAAGGGAGCGUAGACGGCAUGGUAAGUCUGAAGUGAAAGCCCGGGGCUCAACCCCGGGACUGCUUUGGAAACUAUCAGGCUGGAGUGCAGGAGAGGUAAGUGGAAUUCCUAGUGUAGCGGUGAAAUGCGUAGAUAUUAGGAGGAACACCAGUGGCGAAGGCGGCUUACUGGACUGUAACUGACGUUGAGGCU
rnacentral:rRNA from 1 species